GCAGUUUGGGUCUGUGGUUGAAAGUCGAAGCCAGUCGCAGGCGAAACGAUCCACGUAAGCGGGGCAAUGUUCCCGUGAGCAUGGUGCGGUCUAGAUAUAAGUCCAACCGGUCUUUCCGAGAGGGGCAGUAGUGAGAGGCGAACGCCGGGUAGCGAACCCUCCAGUUGGCGAGUGUGGGGGCAAAGACCAGGUCAGCCGGAUCAA
rnacentral:ncRNA from 1 species